GCGUCGGUAGUGUAACGCUUCGAGCACGCGCCUCUGAAUAGGGUGAAGUGUGGGUUCGAGUCCCAGCUCACGCA